CUUAGGCACGGUGCGGUGUUGAGCGUCAGGUGGUCGGAGGCGUGUGCUGCUGCUGCCGCCCAACGAGAAGACGAACGAUGGCAACGGAGCGCAUCUCGCACAUCGGGCUGGUGGCGCGGAGUCCGGAGGGCCACGCCGCCAAGGGCAUGCCCAUCAAGGGCCGCGAGGACCUGUGGGUCGAGAUACAGGCCAACACGUUCCGCAACUGGGUGAACGAGCAGCUGCGUGGCGGCGGCGGGGGCGGGGGCGUG